GCCCUUUAGGGGAGAGAAGAGUGUGGAGGGAGGAAUCGGGGAAGCCCAGUGCCGUACUGAUGCUCUGGACUUUGUUUUUGGAGGUAGCCUGUGAUGCAGGGCAGAAAAGAGCUGAUGCCUUGGAGAGAGACUGGGAGAGGCUGGAGUUAAUAGAGGGUCCCAGGGUAUCCAAGAAGCUGUCAUCCAGGUCUUCUCCAAUGAAGCUACAACAACCCACAGAGCCAGCAGGGGAACCUACACCUUCGAUGUCAUAUAUGAGCAAACAGUCAUUAGAUGGGCGUCCUUCAUCUUCAUCUGCAUGGAGUGAAUAUGAUGAUUCUGUGAAGGUUUAUUGCAACAUGACUUUUUCAGCACAGCAACAGGAAAAUUUGACUCUGGGUCUGUUCUACAAAAUUAAAGCUUUCUCAGCACAAAAAACAGCAUAGACUGUGAGUGAUGGCGGCCAUCUUGGUUCAUGUGUAAAGACUGAAUUUCAGUGACUACCAACGGCUAUUUCUUAGAAUGUGGCACUUACCCUGGGUUCAGGCUGUGGUCCUUCUACUGCCCAUGAAUGAAUUGCUCCAUCUGAACAUUCGGGAACAGGCUCAAAGCCAGCUGCACUACGAGGAGCACCUCCACAAUCACAACAGAUCAUCAAAAAUGGGACCACUGGUGGUGGAGGGAUAGUAAUACUAGAGUUAGCACUGGGUGCAAAUAAAAAACAAAACAACCUGAUUUUUUAUGGUUAAAU